GGGUUGCUAACUCAACGGUAGAGUACUCGGCUUUUAACCGACUUGUUCCGGGUUCGAGUCCCGGGCAACCCAUU
rnacentral:tRNA from 3 species